rnacentral:misc_RNA from 1 species
GUAGGGGAGGCCAUUAAGGUGGUCCGGCGGUUCUCUUUACCUGAUGUCUGUAAACGGGAACUCUCCAAUAUUGCAGGUGUCUUCCGUUUUCCACGGGUUUCUUGUGCAGCAGCAUCUGCAGAUGAUGCUGAUUUGGAUCCUGGUGUUGCUGAGCUUCCUCCACAACCAUUGCUUGAGAGACUUGCAAAGGAACUUCGUCACCGACUUGGUCUCCGGCUGUUUAAUUUGGAUAUAAUCCGAGAGCAUGGGACCAGAGAUCAAUUUUAUGUCAUUGACAUCAACUACUUCCCUGGAUAUGGGAAAAUGCCAGAAUAUGAGCAUAUAUUUACGGACUUCCUUUUGAGCCUGGGGCAGAGUCAAUACAAGAAAAGAUCCUCAUAGGAACUGUUGGGAAGUGUCGCUGACUUUGCAGUAUGUCAAAAACAUGAUGUUGCCUGAAUAAGUGUUUGCGGGUUGAGAGCUUUUUUGCUUUGCUAAACUAUGUAUAGCAUAAUGUAGUUCCUGCCAGCGGCUGGAGGAGGACAUGCGCAAAAUGCAAAUUCUUCCAACCUUCAACCUCUGUAACUAUUGACUUGCUGGUAGGACUCUGGCGCUUUCAUCUCCCUGACGCGAAGCUGGAUUUACUCAAUAUGAUAUGUUUGUCGUAUAAUUCUUUCAUGUUGUUCCAAUGUUUUAUGAGCAGUUUUGUGAAUCGUGAGAAGACACCACCUCAUAUUGUCUGUGUAGGCCGUGGCGGA